rnacentral:rRNA from 1 species
ACACGUAGGGGGCAAGCGUUGUUCGGGAAUUACUGGGCGUAAAGGGCAUGUAGGCGGCCUUGUAAGCUUGGCGUGAAAGUCCACGGCUUAACCGUGGGAUUGCGUUGAGAACUGCGAGGCUUGAGUGACGGAGAGGGAGCUAGAAUUCCUGGUGUAGGGGUGGAAUCUGUAGAUAUCAGGAAGAAUACCAAUGGCGAAGGCAAGCUCCUGGCCGAUGACUGACGCUGAGGUGCGAAAGUGUGGGGAUC